rnacentral:rRNA from 1 species
AGUGAACGCUGGCGGUAGGCCUAACACAUGCAAGUCGAACGGCAGCACAGUAAGAGCUUGCUCUUACGGGUGGCGAGUGGCGGACGGGUGAGGAAUACAUCGGAAUCUACUUUUUCGUGGGUGAUAACGUAGGGAAACUUACGCUAAUACCGCAUACGACCUACGGGUGAAAGCAGGGGAUCUUCGGACCUUGCGCGAUUGAAUGAGCCGAUGUCGGAUUAGCUAGUUGGCGGGGUAAAGGCCCACCAAGGCGACGAUCCGUAGCUGGUCUGAGAGGAUGAUCAGCCACACUGGAACUGAGACACGGUCCAGACUCCUACGGGAGGCAGCAGUGGGGAAUAUUGGACAAUGGGCGCAAGCCUGAUCCAGCCAUGCCGCGUGGGUGAAGAAGGCCUUCGGAUUGUAAAGCCCUUUUGUUGGGAAAGAAAAGCAGCAGGUUAAUACCCCGCUGUUCUGACGGUACCCAAAGAAUAAGCACCGGCUAACUUCGUG